GACGAACGCUGGCGGCGUGCUUAACACAUGCAAGUCGAACGGAAAGGCCCUGCUUUUGUGGGGUGCUCGAGUGGCGAACGGGUGAGUAACACGUGAGUAACCUGCACUUGACUUUGGGAUAACUUCAGGAAACUGGGGCUAAUACCGGAUAGGAGCUCCUGCUGCAUGGGGGGGGUUGGAAAGUUUCGGCGGUUGGGGAUGGACUCGCGGCUUAUCAGCUUGUUGGUGGGGUAGUGGCUUACCAAGGCUUUGACGGGUAGCCGGCCUGAGAGGGUGACCGGCCACAUUGGGACUGAGAUACGGCCCAGACUCCUACGGGAGGCAGCAGUGGGGAAUAUUGCACAAUGGGCGGAAGCCUGAUGCAGCAACGCCGCGUGCGGGAUGACGGCCUUCGGGUUGUAAACCGCUUUCGCCUGUGACGAAGCGUGAGUGACGGUAAUGGGUAAAGAAGCACCGGCUAACUACGUG
rnacentral:rRNA from 1 species